UUUAUGUUGACUUGCUGUGUGUGGUACCCUACUCCAGAGAGUGACAAUCAUGUAUUAUUUAAUAUGAUUGAAACCUCUGAGAGUGAGUAACACAUGACACAAACAACAUAUAUGAU
rnacentral:precursor_RNA from 14 species